GCUUUUAAAGGAUAAUAGACAUCCAC
rnacentral:tRNA from 1 species